GGUCCCCUGCCAUUUGUCUAUAAUGUCCUCUAAUGUACUUGUAAAGUGUAAUCAUGUCCCCUCGCAAGCGCCUUUUUUCCAGAGAAAACAACCCCAACCUUGACAGUCUACCCUCAUUCAAGUCUUGAAGCCGCGAAAAGAACUGAAGCCAAGAAAGGGACUGAAGCCGCGAAAAGACCUACACUAAACGAGCCAAAGCUGCAAAAAGACCCGAAGCCACGAAAGGAGCCUAAGACACACCUCUCAGCAAAGCUGAACCAGGGAAGGAGAGUGGGGGCUCCAUGAAGAUAUGUGUUCCCUCCCAGAGUGAUACAUGCCACUAACAUGACACAAGAGAAUAAAGAGGGUACAAAAGGGGAAAGGAAAGAAGAGAAUU